rnacentral:lncRNA from 1 species
GUGAAGUCUCCCAUGUACUCCAUAUUCUGCGCCAUGACUUCUUUCUCCUCGUAUGUAUUCUGCUCUGUAUCGGCAGAUUCAGAGCUUGCGGCUUCAGAGUGCGCCUCAGAAUCAGAGUCAGAGUAUAACACGUCUGCUCUGGUAUGUGUUCGAGUGUUAUCCAGCGGGGAAGUUAGUUUUCUUUUUAGACUACGGCGUCCCUGCAUAAACAACACUUAACACACGGAUUAAACGCACCGGGUGGAAGAAACAGAUAAAAACGAAAAUAACAGAAAUUUAAAUAAAGCUAGUAAAAAAAACGACACAACUAAAACGCCUAAAACUUUCCCCGGCAACGGCGCCAAAAUUUGACUCAACCUAAACACCUCUAGAUUGACUUGCAAUAGUACAAGGACAUCCUAGCAGUGGUAAGCUAACCCAAGUCGA